rnacentral:SRP_RNA from 1 species
GUAGGGGCUAGGCCGGGCCGGUGGGCGUGGCCUGUAACCGCAAACCGUCCUUAUGGCGGGGCCGAAGCCCGAGGGCGGUUCCUGUCAGUCUGCCGGUCUGCAGGUCUGGCUGAGAAGCUCUGUCCUGCAGGGUUGCAGGCACGGUGAACCAGGUCAGGGCCGGAAGGCAGCAGCCUUAAGCCGUGUCUGUGACGCUUGCAGGUAACGGAGUGGAGCUGGGCCUGCAGGUCAAACCGGUAGGCUGGCAGGGAUCCACCAAGGGCGUGCCCCUAC